GGCGUAGAAUGAAUGGAGAGUUUGCUGGGAGUCUGAGUCACUGAAGAAGGAAGCCUUGCUUCUGGAAACUUCUGUUCUUUUCAAAGUGUAUUUGUCUAAUGAAAACCGACCAACUUCCUACAGACUGCCCUACUUCUGCAGUUUGUCUGUGGUGUGAAGGGUAUGACUGUAGGCUGUUCUUCUGGCACUCUUCACCUACAAUUGUUAAUAUUUAGGUUUAUUCUGUGAGCAGAAAGGAAGACAACACUCCUGAUCCUCCUCCUCUUCAUAUACCAGCAAGAUUUCAGGGUGGCAAUCUUUGAUGAGAUUCUGAAACAUCAAACCAGGAAACGAUGGGAAUAAGCUGAUUUCUUCCUGAGAUAACACUGAGAGCAUCACUGCAUGUCUGAGGGAGAACAGAAAACGAGUGAGAAAGUCUGGACUGUGCUGUCGCACAGAGCAGCUGCCCCACCCCACAUCACACACUGUGCCCUUGCAGAGCCUUCCCCAUCCCGAGGUUUUUAAUUAUCCGGAUCUGUUUGAGCCCAGGCCCUGCCCUGUGCCCUGCGCUUAGCAGGGGGCCACCAGCUGUGCUGGAGCUGGCUGAUUCACAACAGCCUGUCCUAGUAAGAAUCUCACCAGCUGUGAGGUGGACUUGCAGAGGAGAUGAGAGUACAAAAGGAGUGAGGAGGACACCCUUCCAUGAAGCUUUUCCACACCUCUUGGGAUGAGAAGGAGCAAAGUGGUGGUGCUGCUGCGUCUGGGAGCGAUCAGUCUGCUAAAGGUGAGUGUCUUGUUGCUGUUAUGUGAGCUCCUUCAUCUGCACAGGGGGAGAGAUGCUGAU
rnacentral:lncRNA from 1 species